rnacentral:lncRNA from 1 species
UUAAAAAGAAAACAAAUAUAUAUUAGGUAAAAUGUCAUUUUUUUGGUAUCACUAAAGUCUCUAUAGUUUUAAUUUGAUCAAUUUUAACCUUGUAAUUUGAAUUUCAAGCCAUUCAAAGACAACCCCAAAUUUUGGUCAAAUUUUUGUUUGCAUGGAGGGGCACUUAGGUCCAAUCUAUGGUCUCUCCUCAACCACUCCCCCUCCUGUAGCUUUUCUUCUCCUUUCA